AUGACUGGGGAUUAGGACUUGAGCAUGUCUUUCUAGGGGACAUGAUUCAAUCCAUAAUAGCCUUCAUGUAUUUCUUACUGCUCCCAUUCCUAUAAAACACCCUAUUUAUGUUUCAGGACUAAAAUUAUUACCCCCUCAAAGAAGCCUGAUGACACAAAAUGGAAAGAGCUUUCUCCUUUUAUAACUACCCUUUGUCUUAUAUGCGUUUCCGUCAUUGUCCCUCAUUGCACAUGUACAUUUCUGUGUAUGUCACUCUCUCAGAACCUACGCGGCUUGAGAGCAAGAUCGGUGUUGUGAGUUAGUGACCCACGAAAUAAUGAACUUCAAAAGUGAGUACAGUGACAGGAUGUUUCUAAUACUUUUUACCUUCCCACAAAGUAUAUCUCUUUAUGGUUUUCCAUCAUCCGUAACAGUGGUCUCUUUGUACUUGAUGCCACACUAUUCUAAUCACUUCAUAUUAAACAUAUUCUGUCAGGGAUCGGUUUCAUUCAAGGCUAACUGUGGACCUCACCCAGGAUGAGUGGCAGCAGCUGGACCCUGAUCAGAUAAUCCUGUGCAAGGAUGUGAUGCUGGGGAAGUACAGCCACCGAGUCUCAGUGAGUCCCUGAAGUCCAAAGAGCUUGGUCCAGCUUAUGUGUCAUUUCCCAUUAACAGGGACCAUGUUAGCAAACCAGAUGUGAUCUUCAAAUUGGAGCAAGGAGAAAAACCAUGGAGAGUGGAGGAAUUCUCAAGUCAGAACUACCCAGUGACUGAGACCAGUUACUUUAUCUACAGAAGUGGCUGUUACCCAUGGUGCCCCCAUCCUCCUGACUGCACACUGAUGACACCAUGGAUGAACAUUUGAGAAAGCUGGGCCAGUGAGAACCCUUCCUGAGAUAAUGUAAUGGGAGCUAAGUCCAGGAGAGCUAAUAUGUGAUCCUAGACCCUCCAGCAGCUAAGUCAAGAAAACAGCUAUUACUGAAGGAAAAAGAUGCAGCGAUAAGCAGACUUGAGCGGCAAAGAGAAUUCUGAUGGUGUUUAAACCCAGAAAGUGUUUGUCUCCUUGGUUUUUGUAUUCCCUUAUAUCCACUCACCCCUAUUCCUUCAGUGGUUUAUAUUAUCUAAUAUGUUUACAAAAAUUUAUUGGAUUUUCUAAUAGACAUGCUCACCAAGGUGUUCUUUAGAGUUCUUUGAUCAAAUUCUGGGAACAAAAGGUCUCUGUAAUUCUGUUUAGACUUACAUUAUCCAUAUAUGUGUGUGUAUAUAUAUAUACACACACACAGGCAGGAUUAUUAGGCAGGACUGCCAUUUUUAUGAGGUUAACAUUAGUAGGAAAUGUUUUUCUUUCGAGUCUUGAUUUCCAUGUGUGGGAUUUUCCCGAAACCCAAUUCUGGCCUCUCUCCGCCUCACUAUGCAUUCUGCCCCAGGUAAGAUGGAGGAAGUUUAUCUAAUUGUAAAACUGAGAAGAGUAACCGGAUUUGCCCAGCUCAGCACUUUCUCCUCUUGUUGCGACUGAACUACAAUUUGAUGUCCUCUCUAAUCCUGUGUACCUAAAGUCAUCUGCUGGGAAACAUAUCCUGAUCAGCAUUAUCUAUAAUUGGGUUAGUAAAUUAGUCUGAUUCCAUCAUGCAAUUAAUUGGCCAUUCGGUGGACAUACUAAGUUGCAUCCUCCAAUUCAGUGUUGAUCAGUAAUAAA